CAAGCAGUCAUAUAUAUGUUCGAUGAGAGAGUAUAAAAUGAAAUUAGGGAUUUGCGAAAUCACAAUGCAGAGAGGUUAAAGGUCUCGCGCGUCUCAGCCACGAUCAAAGACGUACCCCGUCGCGCAUCCGUCGUCCCUACCGCCGGAGUGACCCACCGCCACUGAGACCCUUCCUUUCAUCGCUAUCUCACAAUCCCAUGCCCAAAACCACUUCAUUGUUUCAAUUGCUCCACUAGCUCUAUUUGCCACCACUGCUAAAAAAUGAACAACCAACGUCGAAGAAGGAGCUCAGAGAGCCUCAAUCUCUCUUCCAUUCUCCCGCAAGGUUACCGGUGAGAUCUCUGCUUCGUUUCAAAUUGGUGUGUAAGCCCUGGCUCUUUCUCAUUUCCGAUCCCCAAUUCGGUAAAUCUCACUAUGACCUAGCUGCUGCACCCACCCACCGAUGUCUGGCAAAACGUAAUGAUUCUGAAAUUGAGUCCCUAGAUAUAGAUGCAGCACUUUACAAUCAUGAGUCUUCUGUUGUAAACCUCAAAUUUCCGCUUUCAUCACCUCCUGGCGAACAUAGUGAUUAUUUUCUUUACAACCCUGUUGAUUUCUUGGGUUCUUGUAGAGGGUUUAUACUUGUAGCCUAUCGAGGGGGUAAUAUUAUUAUAUGGAACCCAUCAACCCGUGUCCAGAGAAGAAUUGCAGACAACCGUGAAGGGAUGAGGUUUCUUUUUUUAAAUGGUUUUGGGUAUGACACAUCAACGGAUGACUACUUGUUUGUUUGUAUAGAAGUGAUUCCUUGGGAUACCUAUAUUUAUAGUGAACAAGAUCCAGACAUUAUAGCUAAUCAUCCUACUUGCAUUUGCCUUUUUUCCCUGAAAACAAAUUCCUGGUUUUCCCCAGAGGGUACUUAUGCUCAAUAUGUGGAUCUGCGCUAUUGUGAAUUCAGAGUUGGGUCCUUCUUGAAUGAGGCUCUGCAUUGGUUGGUUAUCUCUGUUGAAACCAAUAAUCAUGCAAUCAUUGCGUUUGAUUUGGUAGAAAGGAGUUUGUCAGAGAUUCCUUUGUCUCAAACUUUAGCCAGGGAAUUAGAAUGUAGAGAGUAUCAUUUGCGGGUCAUGGGAGAAUGUCUCAGCCUAUGUUGCCCGGGUGAUCACUAUGACGUGGCUUCAAUGGCUGAGAUUUGGAUGAUGAAAAAAUAUAAAGUGCGGUCUUCUUGGACUAAGUUAUUUGUUUUUUCUACUUGUAACAUUCCCCACAACAUGUUUUUUCCAAUAUGUUUCACCAAACAUGGUCGUAUUUUUGGAUCAAAUGGUGUUGACAGAUUAAUGAUAGUUAAUGACAUAGGAAAGCUGCUUGAUGAAUGCACAUUUGAUACGUAUAGAGCGGAUUUACUUCAUUGUGGUAUGUAUAGAGAGAGUUUACUAUCACUCCCUAAUGAAUUAGAGGAAACAAGUGAAGAUGGACCAGCUGACGAGUUCCUUGGAGGAGACAAGUGAAGUUGACCAAUGGUAUCUGACAAUAAGAAUUAGUGUAUGUUAUUCUUCAUUCCUUUUCACCAUUUUAUUACUAUUUAUCAUGCAUAGUGAAAAAUGAGAAGUCAUAUGUACAACACAUGAUACAAGAACAUGAUUCCUUAAUCUAUCGAUUUACUUCAAUGUGGUAUGUAUAGAGAGAGUUUACUAUCACUCCCUAAUGAAUUAGAGGAAACAAGUGAAGAUGGACCAGCUGACGAGUUCCUUGGAGGAGACAAGUGAAGUUGACCAAUGGUAUCUGACAAUAAGAAUUAGUGCCAUGAAGGGUGCAAGAGUGAUCUACAGUUAUGCUUGAUGUCUUGGCUUGCCUUCAAAUGAUGAUAGUGCAAGAGGAGAGCUUAGCAUUUGGAAGAGAAUGUUAUUUACACAAUGUUAAAUCAUCUCGCUUUAGUAGUGUUUGCUUUCUUGUGAUUUCAGUAAGUUGGAGUCAAGGCUGUCUUUUGAACUUAAUUAUUAUGAGUUAUGAUACCCUAGCUGGAGUUUGGACAUGCUAUUUAGCAUCUUUAUAUUUUCUCCUCUUAAUUUUGUUAUUGUAGUUGUUGUUUGUUUCUGUUACCAUUUACUUGGUUUUCAGGUUCAAUCUCUACUUAUUUGUACUGUAUUUAGGUACCUCUUUUGCAAGGUAUUGUGCUGUUACUCAUUUUAA